GACGCGUCGCGCUGCUCAUCGCCGCUUAUCGCCGCGUAUCGCCGCCGGCUCUCAUUGAAAAUGAAUGACUUCCGGCUACUUUGACGCUCUCGCCGCUUUCGGUGUGAACGUACGGUAACACCUGACCUGUGCUCGCCUCACGCCCAGCCUGUUGAUCGGUGGACGGGUAAGCGCGCAUGGCAUCGGAAGGAGCUCGAAAAGUAUAAGGUGAUGACAAUGGAUAAUUGCGUGAAAAUCAAACUAAAAGAA